GGCAGCGGCCGUUACACCGCGGCGCGCCCCAAGCACGCAUGCACACUGCUUCACCCCCCCCUUGUCCUUUACCCCGCGGGCCGCCAUUCGCUGGGCGCCCAGCCCGCCUCCCCGGCCUCUCACUGCCGGCCCUGCGCAUGUGUUGUAGGAGGGGGAGCGUUACCUAUACAAAUAACACAUUUUAAGAAGUCAAGCCCCAAGGAACUGUUAGGUGGAAAUAUAACCCAGAGAUUAACAUUUAUCAUGCUGAGAUUCGGGCAGCACAUCAUCAAGCCCUCCGUGGUCUUCCUGAAGACUGAGCUCUCCUUUGCUCUUGUGAACCGCAAGCCGGUGGUCCCAGGCCGUAUCCUUUUGAGCAGUGCCUUGGCCAUGGGUGCCUGUGUUCUGUGGAGACGCUGAGGAAGGUUGGCAUGCUCUGAAGGCCAGAACUGCAAAGGGACUAGAUGCACUUCCUGCAGUCACAGUGGAUGGAAAGCACCCAGCAAAGGAAUUUGGGAAGUGAAACCAGUAUGGAUUUUGCAGGUAUUUUUGUGCUCCUUGUUCCCUACAGCUUCCCACUUCAGAUGGUUCUUUGGGUUUCAGGUUUGGGUUUGGGGUUUCAGAUUCUGAAGAUGCAUUGAGUUCUAGGAGUUGUACCUAAUGCUCCUGUCUUCUUCAUUAUGCACCUGUAAAAAUGUUUUGUUUUUACAGAAAAGUCUAAUAAUCGUAUUGCAGGACUUUGAAAGAUAAUUGAGUUGUCUACCAUAAACUAAUGUUUCUUAUUCACCCCUGUUGAAAGACCACAAAUCUUUAUUCAGCAUGAGCUCGUUCUUAUAUAAAUUGUAGUAAAUAAUAUAUGAAUGUAUAUGCCAGCUAAUGUAGGACUAUACAGUGUUUGGUUUUGAAGAAUUGUACAUACUUCCCAAUGCAAAUGCUUAAAGGAGGAGAGAAGUGCAGUUAGUAUUUCAUAUCUAUGCAUUGCAGGAAAUAAAAGUUACAGCUCUAGUAAAAUUCAUAUGCUAGACAACUGUAGAGCUGAAGAGACAGAGAAUCCCA
rnacentral:lncRNA from 1 species